UGUUUUUUUGUUUAUUAAAGUGUUAGAGUUGCAGUCAGGAGAAUCAAUUUAGAUUUUUGCAGGCCUUC
rnacentral:tRNA from 1 species